UACAGAGGGGGCAAGCGUUGUCCGGAUUUACUGGGCGUAAAGAGCGUGUAGGCGGUUUGGUAGGUCCGCUGUGAAAACUCGAGGCUCAACCUCGAGACGCCGGUGGAAACCAUCAGACUAGAGUCCGGAAGAGGAGAGUGGAAUUCCUGGUGUAGCGGUGAAAUGCGCAGAUAUCAGGAAGAACACCCGUGGCUAAGGCGGCUCUCUAGUACGGUACUGACGCUGAGACGCGAAAGCGUGGGGAGCGAACAGG
rnacentral:rRNA from 1 species